rnacentral:rRNA from 1 species
AUUGAACGCUGGCGGCGGGCCUAACACAUGCAAGUCGAGCGGCAGCGGGAAAGUAGCUUGCUACUUUUGCCGGCGAGCGGCGGACGGGUGAGUAAUGCCUGGGAAAUUGCCCAGUCGAGGGGGAUAACAGUUGGAAACGACUGCUAAUACCGCAUGCGCCCUACGGGGGAAAGCAGGGGACCUUCGGGCCUUGCGCGAUUGGAUAUGCCCAGGUGGGAUUAGCUAGUUGGUGAGGUAAUGGCUCACCAAGGCGACGAUCCCUAGCUGGUCUGAGAGGAUGAUCAGCCACACUGGGACUGAGACACGGUCCAGACUCCUACGGGAGGCAGCAGUGGGGAAUAUUGCACAAUGGGGGAAACCCUGAUGCAGCCAUGCCGCGUGUGUGAAGAAGGCCUUCGGGUUGUAAAGCACUUUCAGCGAGGAGGAAAGGUUGAUGCCUAAUACGUAUCAACUGUGACGUUACUCGCAGAAGAAGCACCGGCUAACUCCGUGCCAGCCGCCGCAGUAAUAC